AACGAACGUUGGCGGCGUGGAUUAGGCAUGCAAGUCGAACGAGAAAGGCUUCUUCGGAAGCCGAGUAAAGUGGCGGACGGGUGAGUAAUGCAUGGAUAGCUUACCCCUGAGAUGGGGAAUAACGCUUCGAAAGGAGUGCUAAUACCCAGUGCCGUCUCGAGUCGAUGGGCUCGAGAUGAAAGGAGGCCUCUGAUUCAAGCUUCCGCUCGGGGA
rnacentral:rRNA from 1 species